ensembl:lncRNA
AUUUAAACCACCAGGUGCAUGAGAAGGUCUCCUUAACAUGAAAUUACGGCACUAAUGACUUGUCUUCUGUUGAAAGGAUACACUGACUGUUGCCUGCCUGAGUUUAUCCGCAUUAGAAGAACAAUAGCGAGCAGGCGGCAGUGCUCCACUCGUCUCUCUGGAGACCUGCGCUGCGGUCUGGAGCAAGGGGCGCCCAGGGAGGUGGCAGCGGUGACCGUGCUGGAGAAGAGAAGGAGGUGGUGGUGGAGAAGGAGGAGGGGUGUGGGGUGUGUGCUCUGGCUGGAAACAGCUGAGGGGUGGUAUGGAGAGGGGCAACCAAACACAGGCCGGGUCCAAUUCAGCAUGUCAUCAGCUGGCAAGAGAAGACCGGCCACUGCAGGUGGCUCUCAUAGUAAGGAGAGAGAGAGAAAGAGAGAGCGAGAGUGAGAGAGUGAGAGACAGAGAGAGAGAGAGUGAGAGAGUGGAAGAGUUGGGAAUAGGGAAAAGACUUUUGUGACUAAAUCAUUGUGUAGAUCAAGGGUAGCUAAAAAGCCUACUGUAUAGCAUACACACACUAACUAUACCUCCAAAGAAGUAUUUGAAAGAAGAGAGAAAAGUGUGCGAGAGAGACAGAGAGAGAGAAAUGAAUGAGAGGGAAGUGAGAAACACAGAAGGGGAUAAACGAGAGACUGAAAGCGACAGUACAAGUGGAACACACGGACGCAGAGACGGAGAGAUAGAGAAGGGGGGUGGAGAAACGAGAGGGAGAGUGAAUGACAACGAGAGGAAAAAACGAAGGGAGAACAGCCGUCCUUUCCCCGCGGGGCCAUCUCUCCUUUGAACAGCGCCGUUCCCCCCACGCGGGCAUUUCCUCCGCGGAGCACCACGCCUUCACCCUGCCAACCUGGCAACCCUCCGCGUGCUCCACGCAGCACCUCGCUAACUGGCACAGACAGCGGGCACGGCCGUGCCAGCUCCACCCGAGGCCAUGGGGGUUUCUGUCAGUGCCUGAGUGGAGAGGCUCCAGUGGUGGUUUGCCUCUGUCAGGGCUGGGGGCUGGUAGUGGCAACAGCAGUGCAAUAGUACAUCAGUUGGUGUUUGGAGACACUGCAGGAAGAGAGAGUCAGUGCAAUUUAAAUACGCCCGAGGGGAAUGUCUCUCGUCACAGCACGCAAGAUGACAUGGCGGAUAGUUGCUGUGCGGUCAAAGUUUUAUCCUAUUCUGGCACAUUUGUGUUUAUAAAAUGGACACUCAUAUUUUCCCUGUGCAUGUUUAAUGUUUUCCUUGCGAAUGUUCCCUAAAAAGAUGCCCUGCGGGGUCGAUAUACAUGAACAAUCAACAAUGUUAUACAUGACAAACAUGGACAGGAUUUUGGAUAUUUGUGAUUUGGUUUUUCUUCCACAGUCACCAGACUUCAGCUAAACGUGUAAAGCAUACCAUAAGGACUCCAAGAUGUUUUUAAAAAGGAGAAAUGGUAUAAUUUAGAAGUUUAUAGAAUUUCUUUUAAGACUUUAGGCUGUGACAUGGGC